UCUCCAAAAAAAUCUAGUGUAAUAGUUGAUGCAGUUGUCUAGCAGAAGGGUGCCUACAAUAUACUCCAGGAUGGUGUAAAGAAGCAAGCUAGGGUCUUCAAUGGUGGAGACGGUCAUCUCAAGGGCCUCAAAGGGAGCUCAGCAGCUGAAGAGGAUUAGCGAAGGCAGGGAGGUCCGCACAAGGGGCUGUUAGGAUGCGCAUCAAUAGUG
rnacentral:lncRNA from 1 species